CCUACGGGAGGCAGCAGUGGGGAAUAUUGGGCAAUGGGCGCAAGCCUGACCCAGCAACGCCGCGUGAAGGAAGAAGGCCUUCGGGUUGUAAACUUCUUUUAUCAGGGACGAAGCAAGUGACGGUACCGGAUGAAUAAGCCACGGCUAACUACGUGCCAGCAGCCGCGGUAAUACGUAGGUGGCAAGCGUUAUCCGGAUUUACUGGGUGUAAAGGGCGCGUAGGCGGGAUUGCAAGUCAGAUGUGAAAACUAUGGGCUCAACCCAUAGCUUGCAUUUGAAACUGUACUUCUUGAGUACUGGAGAGGGAAGCGGAAUUCGGUGUGUAGCGGUGAAAUGCGUAGAUAUAAGGAGGAACACCAGUGGCGAAGGCGGAUUGCUGGACAGUAACUGACGCUGAGGCGCGAAAGCGUGGGGAGCAAACAGGAUUAGAUACCCGAGUAGUC
rnacentral:rRNA from 1 species